CCUCGGGAGGCACCAGUCGAGAAUCUUCCGCAAUGGACGAAAGUCUGACGGAGCGACGCCGCGUGCGGGAUGAAGGCCUUCGGGUUGUAAACCGCUGUCAGUGGGGAGGAAAUGCAUCAGGGUUCUCCCUGGUGUUUGACCGAUCCGCAGAGGAAGCGCAGGCUAAGUUCGUGCCAGCAGCCGCGGUAACACGAACUGCGCGAACGUUAUUCGGAAUCACUGGGCUUAAAGAGUUCGUAGGCGGCCUUUCAAGUCGGGUGUGAAAUCCCUCGGCUCAACCGAGGAAUUGCGCCUGAUACUGUUGGGCUUGAGGGGGAUAGGGGUGAGCGGAACUGAUGGUGGAGCGGUGAAAUGCGUUGAUAUCAUCAGGAACACCGGUGGCGAAGGCGGCUCACUGGAUCUCUUCUGACGCUGAGGAACGAAAGCUAGGGGAGCGAACGGGAUUAGAUACCCUCGUAGUC
rnacentral:rRNA from 1 species